rnacentral:piRNA from 1 species
GAGACUGGAGAAGAAAACAAAAU